GUGGCAGAAAAGAAAAAGAAACCACGCCACGGAGAAGCGGGGCCUGGGUCUCCCAUGGAAAAAAAGUGCCUUCCCAUCCGUCCCUGCGCUGGGCCCCGUGGACCCAGGCGACCCUGGUUCUAGGCCUGGGUGCACCUCGGGCCCGCUAGGUGUACCCCAAAGCAGGCAGAAGGCCCAUGAGGGGAAGGUGAGGUUUGAGGGAGGAGAGGUGAUGCACCUGCGGCAGAAAAAUAAAAACGUGCCGAGGAGAAGUGGGGCCUGGGUCUCCCACAGACGAAAGUGCCUUCUCAUCAGCCCCUGCGCUGGGCCUCCUGGACCCUGGCGACCCUAGUUCAAGGACCAGAAGAGACUCCGGCACGCUAGGGUACCCUAAGGAAGCCAGAAAGCCCAUGAGGGGAAGGUGCAGAAAUACAGCUAUUUCCAGUGCCAGCUGUUGAGCCAGUGCCAGCACCAGGGUCAAAGCCCCCUCCAGGGACAGCGCUGGAGCUAGAGGAGGCUCCAGAGCCCUCCUGCCAUUGCCCUGGGACUGCCCAGAACCAGCCCAGUGAGAAGCUGCCUGACUUCAUGGCACCUCAUGUACAGCCACCGGCCUCAGCCCUGGAGCUGAAAG
rnacentral:lncRNA from 1 species